UGAUCCUCCAUAGUGUUGUAGGGUGACCUACUGACAGAAUAUUUUUCCAACAUGCCUUUCUAGGGCUGACCCUUUAAAAUCAACAGGAGAGGCAGUACUGCCCCUAAAGAAACCAUUUUGCAACUGGCUACUACUUCUUCAUCUCUCCCAGCAGCUGAUUAAGCUCAUGUAGCUGAGGCCAAAGUGAAAAUACAGAACUGUUGGAUACGCUUGAUGGGGACACCAUCUGGUAUCUAUCUGUAACCAUCCUGUUACAGAAAAGCAAAUAAAACUGCAGCUGGUUGCAAACGUGGGAAACUCAGAGGUUGUGGCGUCAACGGCAAAUCAGGAAAAGGACUUCAGACAAGUAAUGCUGCCUUAGUCAGAAACUAUGGAGUCAGCUUUUGGAAACAGGAAGCCUCACUCUGUGCUCUUGGAGCCAGCUGCUUAUUUCAGUUACCCAGGUAAGUAUAAAUCUGUAGUAACCCCAUGGAAAUCGGUGCACUCUGCACUCAUGCAGGUGUAACUCUGCUCCUUACAGUAUAUUGUUUGUGUUUUCCUUUAAUGAAACCUGAAGAAGACUGAAUCAUUUAUAUAAAUCUGUAUUUGCAACAUUCAGACUUUGCCACCCAAAAUAUGCUUUUUUUUUAAGAAGUUUUGUGGCAUAAAAAUUAUAUUGUACACCAGAAUCAAAGUCGCCUUUACUUAAAAUUUGCAGCAAGUAAAGGUCUCAAAUUACUUCUGCCAAAAAAUCUUUUUUUUUUCUUUUUUUUUUUUUAAUUUUUAUUUGAGGAUUUCUUUGGCAGAAGACAUCCUAAGUUGUCAAGUUUCUUAUAGAAUGUUCAUAAGAUCCUAUGGGAAAUAAAGUAACAGAACAUGCUGGAAAGAAAGAGGAAAGCAAACUUCUUCUUACAAGGUAUGUCACAAUUUUAUUCUAAUCUACCGAGGCACUCAGAGUAUGAUAUAAUGCCAUAAAAUUUAUUUAAGGUGAGAGAGCACCCCCGUGAGGAUCAAUGUUGAACUGAGACAAAGAUGUCAAUGAUAGUUCUGUGGGAGCAUAAAGUUAGACCAGUAUAAAGAGAGAACGAAUGAUUUGGUUCUGGCACAUUUUAAACUGAAAAUCAUUUUGGUGUGAAUAAUGGCAUUUUCUGGAGAGAACAGGAAAAAGUCUGUGGUGUUUAACAUAAACGGAAACAUUUAAUGUAUUCCUUGUAUUUACAUACAGCGCCCGUGUGUAUUCAUGGUUACGCAUGUUACAUGAAGAAUGAAUUAAUACAAUUAGUGUUUCUAAUCCUUAUGAUAACUGUGGGGUUGUUCCUUAAUGAUUUAAUACUGUGCUGGAUCUGGCUCUAGCUGAUGUUUCUGUACCGUAUAUCAGAAUGGAUAGCCAACGCUAGGGUUCUGACUGGGUAGCAGAGCCUGACUAUCUAGGGAAAGAGGGAGAAGGCCCAUUCUAUUAGACGUUCACCCGAAAGGCCUCCUAAAUGUUAGUGGUUACAUCUACACGGCAAUAAAAGAUCCAUGGCACCACCACAGCAGGCCUGGGGCUGAAGGGAUAUAAAACUGCUGUGUAGAUGUUUAGACUCAGGUUGCAGCCCGAGCUCUGAGAUCUCACAAUGGAGGAAGGUCUCCAAGUCCAGGCUCCAACCCAAGCACAAAUGUCUAUACUGCUACUUUUGGCCCCGCUGACCUGGGCUCUGAGACAGGAUGCUGCAGGUGUUUUUAUUACAGUGUAGACGCAUCCUAAGAGACAAUGCCAAAGCAAGUAACCUUAGUGGUUCUAGCCCACUGUGCCUGGAGAAUAGUGAAACUGCGUGGUGCUCCAUCUGGAUUUGCUCUCCAAGCUGUGCUCCAUGGGAAUGGAAUAGGGGUGAGUAUGAUGGGCUGUGAAAUGGAGAACAGGACAGAGAUUUGGCCUGUUUAGGGACACAAGGUGGGUGAGGUAGUAUCUUGGACCAACUUCUGCUAGUGCAAGAAGCUUUUGAGCAACACGCAGCUCUUCUUCAGGUCUGGGAAACAUACUCAGAGUUCACAGCUAAAUACAAGGUGGGACAGAUUGUUUAGCAGAAGGAGUUAACACACAUUCUAAGACCAUUCAAGGUGAAGUGGCCGAUUAACACAUCUGCAGUCACAGGACAAAGGGGGAGUUAAUGGGUUACAAAGUGUUGUAAUAAGACAUAAAUCCAGUGUCUUUAGACCAUAAUUUUUAGUGUCUAGCAAAGUUAUGAGUUUAAGCUCCCAGGUUAUCUUUUGAAGGGGUUGUGUAGAUUUCCUCUGAAGAUGAGGACUGAGGUCAGAUAUAGAGUGAUCACUUUAUGAAAGUGUUCACCUACAGGUGACAUGGUGUUUUUGUCUUAUCAUUUUCCUGUGUGCAUUCAUUUGAGAGUGUAGUGAUUUGUCUGGUUUCACCCACAUAGUUGUUGUUGGGGCAUUUAGUUCAGUGGAUGAGGUACACCACAUGUUGUUGUGAUGGGCAUGUGUAAGACCCAUGGCUCUUGAAAGUGUCUGGUGGGCGGAGUGUUGAUCAUUGUGGCAGUGGAGAUAUGUCUGCAGGUUUUGCAUCUGGUGUUCUGGCAGGGUCUGGUGCCACUUUGAGUUGGUGGGUCCUGGUCUGUGGGGAGCUUGCUUUUGAGGUUGGGAGGGAGUUGAAGGCUAAAAGAGGGGCUUCAGGAAAGAUUCCUUUUAGGGUGUGAUCCCAUCAAAUGUGAGUUGUAAUUGUGUAAUACCCCUUAUGGGUUCCAAUGCAGGGUGAUAAGUGACAAGUGUAAAAAGUGUUAAGAUGCGUACCCUGGACUUUCUCCUCAGAGCAUAUUCUGUGGUAGCAGCGUGCCUGGCUAUAAGUAACAGAAUUCUUGGUGUGUUUGGGGUGCUUACUGGAUCUGCAAAGGUAGGUGUGGUGAUCCGUGGGUUUCUUAGACAUAGUUGUCUGUUGGAUUCCAUUGUUGAAGCCGAUUGUAGGUGGCCCAUGAAGAGGUUGGCAUGUUGGGGAGCCAUCCUAGUGCCCAUGACUGUUCCCACAAUUUGGACAAAGUGCAUGCUGUUGAAUAUAAACUUUUAUGAAUGAGGAUGAAAUGGAUAUCUGAGUGUUGUCCAUUUCUUGUAGAUAUUUGAGGCAGGCAGCAAUCCCAUCAUUGUGAGGGAUGUUGGUGUAUAGGGAGGUGACAUCCAUCUAGGCAAAGAUAGUGUUCUGAUGGAGUGUGUUAAUAUUGCAGAGUUUCUGGAGGAAGCUGGCCCUUUUUGUGGAGAGUGGUUUGUAGAUGGUUUCCACAAGCCCUGAUAUUCUUUCAAUAAGGGUGCCAUGGCCAGAUACGAUAGGUCUGCCUGGGUUCCCUUGUUUGUGUAUCGUGGGAAGAUGUAGAAGGUUUCUGGGGUGGGUUCGUGGGGGAUUAGGCUGUAGAGUUUCUCCUGGAUGUAUGUUCCUGUUUGUCUAUUUCCAUGCUUUCUCUGAUGACUGUGCGAUCAUGUUUUAUGGUUCUCAUGGAAAAGAACAUUUUCAGGCAGAAGCAUAGUGCAAAAAUAGAAAAAUACAGUGAGAAAACCAGCUCUUCCAUAUAUCAGUUGGGUAGAUUGGGCCAGAUUUUUCAGCUGGCGUAAAUCAGCAUAGCUUCUUUGGCUUCAGAUUGCUGAGGAUCUCACCCUUGCUGCUUUUUAUCCUAAUCUGGCCUGGGAGAACUAUUAUGAUAGACAAUUAUAGUCAAUCACAUUGACACCUAUUGAUUAAAUGUGCAGCAGGUAGUCUACUCUUUUGAACUCAUCUGAAGUUGCACCCAGAAGGAGAGCUUUUAGCUUCGCAAAUCAGCAAGCCAUUUAGUGUUUGAAAUCUUGUUUGCAUUAUAGGUCAAUGGGAACUCUUUAGUCCGCUUCUUUUCCUUACCCCUAUCCCAGCACAGUGAAAAUUUCAAAACAUAUCACUCAGCACCAGAAAUAAACUGCCAGCCUGACUUGUUGCAUUUGAAUCUGGAUCUUCAUGAGCAGAGAAUCUAACAGACUUCCUAAUUUUAUUACGCCGCCUUGUGGCUUCCAGUUCUGAGAUAAAUGUAGCAACAAGGCCAAAAUGUUUUUGCUACCCACUCUUAUUAUCUCUCUCUAAUACUAUACUGCUUCUAAUUAGUGAUACUUUACAGACAGCAUAUGUUUUAACUACAGGUGAAGAAGGGAACACAGAGGAAAUGGUGGUCUGCUCAAAUACAGGCCUAACAGUCCUAAGACAUGGGUUCUCUUCCUAGUUGUGCUACCGACUUCCUGGGUUACCUUAGACAAAGUUCUACAAAGUUUUCCAAAGGGUUUAUUGACUAUGGUUAUCUCAGUUGUUGGGCAUCCAACUUGAGACACCUAGUUUGUGAUAUUUAGAGAUGUCGAACACCAAUAACAAUUUGAAGUAGGAGCUGCGGGUGCUCAGAAUACCUGAAAAGCUGUCCCUAAAUGUCUCAAGGUGGGCACACACAAUCAGUGGCCACACUUGCAAACACAGCUUUUAGCCUGUGUCUCCAUUUCCCCAUUUGUAAAUGGAGGUAAUAGUAUUUCCCUUUGUCAUUCUAUUAUGAAGCAAACAGUUGAUGUUUUAGUGAAUUCUGAAAUCCAUAAGUGGAAAGUGGUUUAUAUAAAUAUUCAUUUUCCUUAUUCCUUUUGAUAAUAUCUGAAGUCAUAAAUGGUGGGAAAAUACUUUGUUGGCUAGGAAAGUCUUUGUUCCUUGAAUGGCACACUGAUUUUCUCUUUCUAAAAUACGGCUUCUUCCAAUCUGUAUAUCAGCCGCAGUCUAUUAACGCUUUACUAGGCACCAUUACAAAAAAUCUGUUUUAGGGAAACAAAUGUCUUCUAUUCCCUGGAAAUCACAUUUAUCCUCCAGUACCCGAGUACUAUCUGGGAUAGGCUCUGUGUAAAAGGCUGGAGAGGAAAUGCCUGGAGUUUUGCAUGCAUAUUUGGUUCACGUUACAGAAAGUACAUUGAUGAAGUGAUACUGAGGAGAGGAAGUGGGAUGUAAGAGUUCUAGGGCCUACUGUAUAAUGUAGGCAUGUGGAGGGGAUAGAAAACUGGAUUGUGGUCAUUAGAAAGGAGGAGAUAAAUGAUUAAGACCUAUUAAAGGCAAGAUCAUGGCCAGUCCUGAUACAAUGCAGCAGGAAGAGGUAGCAAGGGGGCUCCUCUCCCACCAUGCACAGUUCACAUAAGGGCCAGGCAUAAUUACUGUCCCUAUGCGUGGGACUGCUACAGAGUUGCCCCCCACGUCUGGAAGCAAUUUGCUGAAAAAAGGGUACGGAGUAGGUUUAGCCCUCUAAUCCCCUCUCCCUUCACGUUUCUUUCCAUUUAGUUUAUCCCCUUUCAACUCAAACCACCUCUCAAACCCUCCCAGCAAAAAAAAAUCUGCUAUCCCCUCUCAGCUCAAACCCCUCCCCCCGACACCGUCUCCUUCCCCUCCCACCCCC